UUCUUUCUCUCUGUGCGUGUGUGUGUGUGUGUCUGUGUCCCUGUGUGUGUGUGUCUGCGUGUGUUUAAAGGCUCCUUUGAACUGCCUUUGUGCUGAGUCGGCGCUGCAUUUUGCCAAUGCUAGUCACGGUCAUACGAACUUUGUGUUAACCUCUUAUGUCGAAUGAAUCUUUUCAUUUGGAAGCCCAUAAAUCUCAUUCCGUAGCUCCUUUUGUGCGGCACGCUACGACUUAGUAAGCCAAGUGUGCGCCGAACAACUUAAAAAAAAAUAAACCAGAGACAGAGAGACAAAAAAAGUUGCGACCGAUAAAAAAAAGUACAACUUAAAAAAAAGAGAGAUUCCAAUGUAAAGUACGGGACUGGCAACUCGCAGGAGGGACGUGGAAAGGGAACGGAGAGGAAACGAAGCACCACGCACAAUCACAAGUUCGCCUCAUUUGAAUGGGAUUUAUAUUCGGACAUUUCAGCGACACAAGUGGCGCACAAUGCACGAUCAGCGUGGACUGUACUGGAACUAUUCAUAUUGUUCCAUGGUGGAGGUGAGGAGAAUUGACCAGGGAUUUCGGAGCUGAUCUUUAUGCAAAGACCUCGCCUUCCUUGGUCCACAGAUUUCGAUAUUACGGGGGGGCUUUGAAUCACUACACCUUUACUUGUUUGCAUUCACUUCUGGGACCAAACCAACGUUGUGCUUCACUCUGGAAGGCCCAACACUUGUUAAAAGUUGACGAAAGCAUUGACGCCAGGAACGAAAUCUACCCGUGGCUUCAAAAUCCCUUGGCAUGUGCUGGUGACAUCACACGAUGCCGGUCGCCCCGUCAACAUCCAGUCUCUCGCAACUGUCAUUUAAAGUCGCAAGCGAAUGAAAAAUGACUAUGAGACACACUGGCUCCCCGAACUGACCUUGGGUAUUAUUGGAAUGACCUCACAUCGGUUUGACCAGAAGACCUUUGAUAUCUGCAUGAGGAAAAUAUACGAGUGAGAUGCCUUGUCUGCCAAUUGAAAAGGACAAUAAUCGGCGAGAGUAGCACAAGAUCUCACGCUAUUCUGCAGCUUAUUUCUAUCAACAUUAAAAUGUGAUCAAUACACUCAAAUGGAAUCUCUUCCCAUUGCUUUCAGAAGGCAAUAUACGUCAUUGCUUUGUUACAAUUGGGGGGGGGAAAGCCAUGUGUAUGUUAUGUGUCCUCCCUGUCAGUUAGAAAUGAAUCGGAUGGUCGAUAGAGUUUAACUCCUGUCAAAGGGAAUUCUAUUACAGGUUAUGACAGAAUGGGGAGAGGAUGGGGGAACUCGGCGGAAACAAUAAGGGGGCAUCCCACGUUCUGAACCGCCCGUUUAGUAAUCAGCCCCAGCGCUCACUAAUGAUCUGAAAAAUAUAGGUAUACGGGAUUCUUUGAUGUAAUCAGCUUUUCUCCACUCAAUCGCGCAGUCUACCCCGUCCCUAAACAAGCUCUAAACACUACCUUGGCCUAAUCAGCUCAGACACUCGAAGCACGUUCCAUGACUAAUACGAUAUCCUCAAAACAAAUUAAUGAGGACUGAUUACGGGAAAGCAGGUCCAUUCCCGGCUCCAGUUUCACCUCCCGCCACGUUCAUCUUCCUCAGUCAGUCUCUUCCUCCCCCCUCUACACAUUUCAUCAAUUCCUUUUACCUCUCCCCCCUCUCCACCUACUUGCCUACCCAUUUAGUCCCCUUCUUAGUGCCUUCACCUUCUAUCCCCUCCCACUAACACGCACUUGUACCUUUGUCCCUCUCAUGCCCAGAAUAAUUCCCAACCAACGUCGUUUUAAGGGAACUGUUAGACACCCAGAUAUAUAGACACAAAAUGUUGGGGUAACUCAGCGGGUCGGGCAGCGUCUCCGGAUAAAAGGAAUAGAUGACAUUCCUGUCGAGACCCUUCUUCAGACUGAAAGUCCGUAAAAUGGCCUCGUCCCGAACCGUCACAAAUUCCCUUUCUCCAGAGAUGCUGUCUGACCCGCUGAGUUACUCCAGUAUUUUGUGUCUAUCUUCGGUGUAAACCAGCAUCUAUAGUUCCUUCCUAUACUUUUAGAUAUAUGCCCUCAUCAGCUGAUAAUAUUAAGUUGGCGCCCCCUUGUAUGCGGCCAAUAUAGAAUGUCCUGUUACAUUAUGUGCCUGUCUGGUAUAUUUCGCAUUGCUUGACACGAAGGCUGGAGUAACUCAACGGGUCAGGCAGCAUCUCUGGAGAAAAUGGAUGGGUGACAUUUCGGGUCGGGACCUUUACUUCAAUGUGACCCGAAACGUCACCUAUCCUUUUUCUCCAGAGGUGCUGCCUGGCCAGAUGAGUUACUCCAGCAUUUUGUGACUAUCUUUAGUAUCAACCAGCAUCUGCAGUUCUUUCUUUCUAUAUUUCACAUUAAGAUGAAUCUGGCCACAAUUAGCAGAAACGCUCUGUCUAAAGGAAGUGGCCAGGAGAUAAUGAGUUAGCACAGGCUCAGAUGAUUACUAAGUUAGAGCACCAUUCAGAAAAAUAAAAUUAAUUUUAUUUCAUACUAAAACUAAUCAAAUUAAAAUGGGUGGCAUAAACCAUCAUGGAAGGCAUUGUAGGGAAAUGCAGCAUCUUUUUCUACUCUCCUCCUAAUCUACACACUUCCAAGCAAUUUUGAAAUCAAUACCAAUAUUGUCAUGGGCACUUAUGACCAUUGGAGCACAGGAGUUGAGGUUGCACGUCGGUCAAAAUGCUAAAAUACUUUCUUUCCAAAUGGACACUCGAGACAAUGGGACUGCAGCAUGCUGUAUUAUUUGUGGCUGAAACACGGGGAUACAAAUAUUUCAAAGGCUGCAGAUACUGGCAGUAAUAUUUCUAUGAACAAAAUGAUACUUAGCUUUUAUUUUAAUUGAUAAUUUAGCAGCGCGGCGUUGCAUCGUCCGCUAUUCAAUGUUACACUUCACGGGGAAUGGCAACAUUAACAGCUCUUAAUAUUUCAGAAAGAUAUCAUUUAAGGCAAGCAGCCGUUGUCAUUUUGUAAAAUGUGUCGCCAAAUUUCUGACUAAACGGUCACCUAAUCGAUCAUCCGCGGGGAAACCCUAAAAGUUAUUGUCAUGAAAUAAAUAGUUGACCCAUAUAUCACCAAUAAACUUUGCAACUGA